rnacentral:rRNA from 1 species
GUCCUAGCCGUAAACGAUGAGCACUAGGUGUUGGGUCCUUCUUGGGCCCAGUGCCGCAGAUAACUCGUUAAGUGCUCCACCUGAGGAGUACGGCCGCAAGGUUGAAACUCAAAGGAAUUGACGGGGCCAGCACAAGCGGUGGAACAUGUGGUUCAAUUCGAUGCUACGCGAAGAACCUUACCCAGGCUUGACAUGCAAGGAGUAGGAACCUGAAAGGGGGACGACUCGUAACCAGUCGAGAUCUUGCACAGGUGCUGCAUGGCUGUCGU